rnacentral:rRNA from 1 species
AGUGAACGCUGGCGGCAGGCCUAACACAUGCAAGUCGAGCGGCAGCGCGGGGGCAACCCUGGCGGCGAGCGGCGGACGGGUGAGGAAUUCGUCGGAAUCUGCCUUUUUGUGGGGGAUAACGUAGGGAAACUUACGCUAAUACCGCAUACGUCCUACGGGAGAAAGUGGGGGACCGCAAGGCCUCACGCAGAAAGAUGAGCCGACGACCGAUUAGCUAGUUGGUGGGGUAAAGGCCCACCAAGGCGACGAUCGGUAGCUGGUCUGAGAGGAUGAUCAGCCACACUGGGACUGAGACACGGCCCAGACUCCUACGGGAGGCAGCAGUGGGGAAUAUUGGACAAUGGGCGCAAGCCUGAUCCAGCCAUGCCGCGUGUGUGAAGAAGGCCUUCGGGUUGUAAAGCACUUUUGUCCAGAAAGAAAUCCCUGGAGCUAAUACCUUCGGGGGAUGACGGUACCGGAAGAAUAAGCACCGGCUAACUUCGUG